UUUGGCCUAAGCGUCCGUAGCUGGCUAUAUCCGUCUCCCGGUAAAUCCGGCGUCCUAAGCGUCGGUUCUCGGGUGAUACCAUACAGCUAGAGGGUGGGAUAGGUGAGCGGUAUUUCUGGGGUAGGGGCGAAAUCCUUUGAUCCCAGGAGGACCACCAGUGGCGAAGGCUGCUCACUAGAACACGCCUGACGGUCAGGGACGAAAGCUGGGGCAGCGAACCGGAUUAGAUACCCGGGUAGUCCCAGCUGUAAACGAUGCUAGCUAGGUGUUG
rnacentral:rRNA from 1 species